rnacentral:rRNA from 1 species
UACGUAGGGUCCGAGCGUUGUCCGGAAUUAUUGGGCGUAAAGGGCUCGUAGGCGGUCCGUCGCGUCGGGAGUGAAAACUCGGAGCUUAACUCCGAGCCUGCUUCCGAUACGGGCAGACUAGAGGUAGGCAGGGGAGAGCGGAACUCCUGGUGUAGCGGUGGAAUGCGCAGAUAUCAGGAAGAACACCGGUGGCGAGGGCGGCUCUCUGGGCCUUACCUGACGCUGAUGCGCGAAAGCGUGGGGAGCGAUCCGG